AGAGUUUGAUCAUGGCUCAGAUUGAACGCUGGCGGCAGGCCUAACACAUGCAAGUCGAGCGGAAACGAGUUAUCAGAACCUUCGGGGAACGAUAACGGCGUCGAGCGGCGGACGGGUGAGUAAUGCCUAGGAAAUUGCCCUGAUGUGGGGGAUAACCAUUGGAAACGAUGGCUAAUACCGCAUGAUGCCUACGGGCCAAAGAGGGGGACCUUCGGGCCUCUCGCGUCAGGAUAUGCCUAGGUGGGAUUAGCUAGUUGGUGAGGUAAGGGCUCACCAAGGCGACGAUCCCUAGCUGGUCUGAGAGGAUGAUCAGCCACACUGGAACUGAGACACGGUCCAGACUCCUACGGGAGGCAGCAGUGGGGAAUAUUGCACAAUGGGCGCAAGCCUGAUGCAGCCAUGCCGCGUGUGUGAAGAAGGCCUUCGGGUUGUAAAGCACUUUCAGUCGUGAGGAAGGUAGUGUAGUUAAUAGCUGCAUUAUUUGACGUUAGCGACAGAAGAAGCACCGGCUAACUCCGUGCCAGCAGCCGCGGUAAUACGGAGGGUGCGAGCGUUAAUCGGAAUUACUGGGCGUAAAGCGCAUGCAGGUGGUUUGUUAAGUCAGAUGUGAAAGCCCGGGGCUCAACCUCGGAAUUGCAUUUGAAACUGGCAGACUAGAGUACUGUAGAGGGGGGUAGAAUUUCAGGUGUAGCGGUGAAAUGCGUAGAGAUCUGAAGGAAUACCGGUGGCGAAGGCGGCCCCCUGGACAGAUACUGACACUCAGAUGCGAAAGCGUGGGGAGCAAACAGGAUUAGAUACCCUGGUAGUCCACGCCGUAAACGAUGUCUACUUGGAGGUUGUGGCCUUGAGCCGUGGCUUUCGGAGCUAACGCGUUAAGUAGACCGCCUGGGGAGUACGGUCGCAAGAUUAAAACUCAAAUGAAUUGACGGGGGCCCGCACAAGCGGUGGAGCAUGU
rnacentral:rRNA from 1 species